rnacentral:rRNA from 1 species
GAUGAACGCUGGCGGCGUGCUUAACACAUGCAAGUCGAACGGAAAGGCCCAAGCUUGCUUGGGUACUCGAGUGGCGAACGGGUGAGUAACACGUGGGUGAUCUGCCCUGCACUUCGGGAUAAGCCUGGGAAACUGGGUCUAAUACCGGAUAGGACGAUGGUUUGGAUGCCAUUGUGGAAAGUUUUUUCGGUGUGGGAUGAGCUCGCGGCCUAUCAGCUUGUUGGUGGGGUAAUGGCCUACCAAGGCGUCGACGGGUAGCCGGCCUGAGAGGGUGUACGGCCACAUUGGGACUGUGAGACGGGCCAGACUCGGACGGGAGGCAGCAGUGGGGAAUAUUGCACAAUGGGCGCAAGCCUGAGGCAGCGACGCCGCGGGGGGGAUGACGGCCUUCGGGUUGUAAACUCCUUUCGCUAGGGACGAGGCGUUUUUGUGACGGUACCUGGAGAAGAAGCACCGGCUAACUACGUG